CCUACGGGAGACAGCAGUGGGGAAUAUUGCACAAUGGGGGAAACCCUGAUGCAGCGACGCCGCGUGAGCGAUGAAGUAUUUCGGUAUGUAAAGCUCUAUCAGCAGGGAAGAAAAUGACGGUACCUGACUAAGAAGCCCCGGCUAACUACGUGCCAGCAGCCGCGGUAAUACGUAGGGGGCAAGCGUUAUCCGGAUUUACUGGGUGUAAAGGGAGCGUAGACGGUCCUGCAAGCCAGAUGUGAAAGCCCGGGGCUCAACCCCGGGACUGCAUUUGGAACUGUAAGGCUAGAGUGUAGGAGAGGCAGGCGGAAUUCCUAGUGUAGCGGUGAAAUGCGUAGAUAUUAGGAGGAACACCAGUGGCGAAGGCGGCCUGCUGGACGAUGACUGACGUUGAGGCUCGAAAGCGUGGGGAGCAAACAGGAUUAGAUACCCUUGUAGUC
rnacentral:rRNA from 1 species